GUGCGUGCGGGGUGCGGGCUUGCGGCUUGCGGGCUUACGACUUGCAGGCUUGCGGCUUGCGGGUCCGGCGGGUCACACGGCGCCGAGCGCACU
rnacentral:tRNA from 1 species